UACAGAGGGUGCGAGCGUUAAUCGGAAUUACUGGGCGUAAAGGGUGCGUAGGUGGUUUGAUAAGUUAGGUGUGAAAGUCCAGGCUUAACCUUGGGAUGGCGCCUAAGACUGUGAAGCUAGAGUACUGUAGAGGAAGGUGGAAUUUCCAGUGUAGCGGUGAAAUGCGUAGAUAUUGGAAGGAACAUCGGUGGCGAAGGCGACCGUCUGGACAGUGGACUGACACUGAGGCACGGAGAGCAUGGGGAGCAAACAGGG
rnacentral:rRNA from 1 species